rnacentral:misc_RNA from 2 species
CAACCAAUCCAGCCCGGCUGGGUGUUGGGCGUCGCGGCCUCCCGCGCGCCUCAAAGUCCUCGGCGGAAGCCGCCCGUUCCUCUGCGUGAUGCAUCAUCUUCGCUCGGGAGUCGGGGGCGAGCGCCCGAACGCAUCGGCGGAGACGUCGAUUCUCA